rnacentral:lncRNA from 1 species
CUGCACUUCUUUUCCCUGAUAUUAUUUGAUGAGAUAUUUCCAUAUGUGAUAAAAUGCUUAAUAUUUCCAGAAUUUGCAAAUAAAACUCUAAAGUUCCUUUGAAAUAAAAAACAAAUCAUAUGCACAAGCAUUGCAUGCAUCAUAUGCAUAAGCAGGUUUUGUUUUCGGUCCCUUGCCCUGUGGUCUAACUCUGUGUCCUUCAUUUAUUUUGAAGACAAGCUGACUCACCG